GUCUACGGCUAUGCUACCUUGAACAAGCCGGAUCUCGGCUGAUCUCAGAAGCUAAGCAAGAUUGGACCUGGUUAGUACUUGGAUGGGAGACCACCUAGGAAGGUCAGGUAAUGUAGGUG
rnacentral:rRNA from 1 species